CCGCGACGAAAAGGCAGAGUGCGAAAAACAAACUGCAUUGACGGUACCGGAAAAGCAAGCCACGGCUAACUACGUGCCAGCAGCCGCGGUAAUACGUAGGUGGCAAGCGUUGUCCGGAAUUAUUGGGCGUAAAGCGCGCGCAGGCGGCUUCCCAAGUCCCUCUUAAAAGUGCGGGGCUUAACCCCGUGAUGGGAAGGAAACUGGGAAGCUGGAGUAUCGGAGAGGAAAGUGGAAUUCCUAGUGUAGCGGUGAAAUGCGUAGAGAUUAGGAAGAACACCGGUGGCGAAGGCGACUUUCUGGACGAAAACUGACGCUGAGGCGCGAAAGCGUGGGGAGCAAACAGGAUUAGAUACCCUGGUAGUCCACGCCGUAAACGAUGGAUACUAGGUGUAGGAGGUAUCGACCCCUCCUGUGCCGGAGUUAACGCAAUAAGUAUCCCGCCUGGGAAGUACGAUCGCAAGAUUAAAACUCAAA
rnacentral:rRNA from 1 species